GUGUGACCCUGCCUGGCCCAGCGCUGGGGGAGCUAAGAAAGCCAGCCUCCCUCAGCCCUGAAUGCUGAAAACCUGGGACCAUGGGGUCACCCAUUUGACAGCGCAGUGGCCUGGGCACAUCUGUGCACUCAGCCAUGUGGGAGCAGAGAUCCCUGACAGAUGACACCUAAGGACAAAGUCACACAUGUACACGGUUCCGGGUACGUGGUCCCCGAGGCCCAUCCAGCACACCAAGAACCUUAGCCCCAACACCAAUGGGCUCCCGGCACACACAUACCACCCUGCACAGCACCCUGGCACCGAACUACUUCCCCAGCACAGCAUCGGCCCAGCGGGAACAUCCCUCCCGCCAUGAACUUGAGCCUCCCUGCCCACGCUAAGGAGCCAGACAAGUGUCUGGGCUGUACCUUCCGCUCUCUGCGUGUCCAGCUGCUCAGGCCUCCUCGGGAAUGGGAGAGAAACCCGGCUCUGCCCAGCAGCCAAGACUUCUUUCCUCUUUAUCCAGGCUGCCCAAAGGUGAUAGGAGAGUGGAUUCAGGACCCAAGCCUCCUCUAGCUCACAAACCUACCCACCUGAGGAAGAUCAGUGACCAGAAGCCGGCCAGACACGGGAAGUCCGCGAAGCUUACCUAAAUAGAGACCCAGCCGGGGGAAACCAAAUGGUGUUCUUGGUGGGGAAGAGGCAAACAGUCCGCACUGCAACACCCGCGUGGUGUCAAGUAACAGUCAGAUUAAACAAACAGCCUCAGCUGCUAUUUUUACUUCCAAAUCAGCCACGAGUAACAGAUCACUUGGGGAGUGAGAAAUUGCUUGCCGCUUAGCCGGACCCUAACCACGAUUCCAACUUCAAUCCAGAAUGAUUGCUAAAGCUAUUCCAGCACCUAGAGUCAAAUAAAAAUAUCCCGAGGUGGGAAGGAAAACAUUUGUUUAGGGAAACAUUAAAAACAGGAGAGUGUGUGCCUUGGAGCCAGAGCCCAGAGCCCUGCUGAUGUCCCGGGGCAGAAAUAGCCCGUUUCAUCAUCGGCUCUGGACGACCGCCGCCCGCAUUCCUCGAGUAAGGAGCCGUCCUCUGCUGUGCUUUUGGAGCAGAAUAAUCUGCAGCUAGGGGAAGGCCAGGCUGGGUCUCAGGGUGAGAGUUACAGAAGGAUAUGAAAUAAUCGGGGAAGAGGCAAGUUACAGCGGGUAUCCUGAUGCAGACCAUCCCCAGCCAGAAACACAGCCGCAGAACUGAGCCCAAGCUCCAGACCAAAAACUGAGCCCAAGCUCAGGGUCUGCAUGGCCCAGAGCUGGCAUCUGUCCGGGGGACUGGCCCAGGCAAAGUGACCACUGUCAUCCAGUCCAGGAGCUGUGAGCUGCAUGGAAAGAAUGUGAAUGAAGACACAACUCUAAAUGUGGAACCAUGGACGCUAUGUGAGCCAGUGUGCUCCCUAGCCGUCCAGAAAAACAAGGCCCACUUGUACAUUCUGCAAGAGCAUAAAUAAAGCUGUCCUCAGGCGGCGUGCUGUGGUGGCCCAUCCUUGCAGUGGCUUCACUGGCUGCACCCCUCAGCAAGGCCUCUGGAACACUGUGAGGGCAGCACACCCACCCAACAGCGUGGGUAAAAAACGGUCUAGCUAUGGCCUUGCCGCACGUGGUGAUCGCUAACUUAAUUUUGCAGCAAAUUUAAUCUGCUCUGUAUUGGUAUUAAUUAGAAAUGUUCAAAAGCUGGUAAUAAGGGCAGUGCAGAAUGGGUCCUUCAGGCCAAUUUCUGGUUCUGGGUAUUUGAAGCUCAUAUCCCUGCAAAUAACAGGAAGCCACUCACCUGAUUCUUUUAACUUUGCGUCCUGGUUAUAUGUGACUUCCUGUCGGGGAACGUUUCUUCAUUAUCACCCAGCUUUCCUUUAGGAGUCAUUUCUGUAAAGUUCUUCAGGACGGUGGUACAUUUCCAUGGCUUAAUAAUAAUAAUAGCAAGUGAAAAUGCUAGCCAGCAAACAUAGAAUGCUUACUUUGUGUGCCACAUGGUUCUAAGUCCUCACAUCAAUUAACCCACACCCUAUACACCCCUGAUCAUAGGUCCCUGCAUGAUUUUUUCCCAUCCCCAUGAAUCACUAUCCAUUGGGGAGCUAGGGAAGGAUGAGAUAUGGAGAAGUGAUAUUUCCUGAGCACUCAUUAUGUGCCAGGAAAACACUUUCUGUGCUUUGUUCCACAAAAUACUUAGUCUCCCUGUAAGAUGGCAGCUAAUGUUUCCUUUUUAAGGAUGAGGAAACUGAGGCUUGCAGAGGUCCCAGGAUGCCACAGCUAAUAGCAGCACAGAAGAUGCAGACGAGGGCUCACCUUCCCACCUAUCCAGUUAGUACUCUCCCAGCCCAAGUGCAGGACACAGCCAGCUGUUCUCCUUGCCUCUCCCUGCAGAGAGGGCAAUGCCUGCAGGGCACCUCCUUAGCUACCGAUUUGUUAUGGGGAUUCUGUGCCCACUGUGAGCACAGCAUGAGUGUAUUUCCAAGCCUGAUGGCAAGAUGGUGCCUCACUGGAGGAGCCCUCACUUCAGGGGCUUAGGCCCAGCUGGGCUGGCUGCCUGCUGAGGGGCCUGAGCCGGAGGACCUCUCUUGCAGGAGCACUAGGUUGGUGAGGUGUUGCCUGCUAAUGUGUAGCUCAGAGGGGCUAGAGUUAUGGGGGCAGGGCCCUGUUUGUAGCUCAGAGCUUGAAAGAGCCCAAGUUGCCGAGGCCCCUUCUAUAGGGCUGCCCUUCUCCCUAUCUGACCAGCCUGGUGCUGGGAUGGCGAUAGUCACAUUCAACUGAGGGUCACCUUGGCUGAGGCCUCUCCUCAAGGCAGUUCCUUUAGGAUUCUUUGUUUAGGACUUUACGAUGGAAGACUUAGACAUAAGAAACAGAAUCUGUGAAGGAAAUCCAGUUUAUUAAAGUGCUACCAAGUCUCACAACAAAGCCAUGGCAACCAGCUGGGAGGUCGGCUUCCUGGUGGAUCUGGGUGUAGUUGCUCCUCUCUCCACACUCAGAGAGAUCUGGAAGCCCAGCGUUAAGAGGAGCUACUCCCUAGAGGACGGGUUGACAAACUUUUUCUGCAAAAGGCCAGAUGGUAAAUAUUUUCAGCUUUGCAGGCCAGUGGGUCUUUGUCAAAAGAGCUCAGUUAGGCCAUGGUAGCAUGAAAGCAAUUAGAGACACUCUACACAAAUAGGAGUGACUAACACGGUAAAUAAAACUUCAGUUUCAGAGUUUAAAAGAAGAAAGUUGAUUUUCAUACAAUUCCAUGUAUUACAAAUAUUCUUAUUUUGACAUUUUCCCUCCAAUUAUUGAAGUGUGUACAACCACUCUUAGCUCACAGGGCUGUCCAGAACAGACAGCACAGGGAUUUGGCUCAUGGACAGUUUGCCGACCUCUGCCCUAGAGCCACUUUGUCCACUUGAGUGGCCACCAACCCUAUGUGGCUAAUGAGCACUUGAAACAUGGCUGGUCUGAACCAAGAUGUUCUGUGAGUGUAAAAUGCACACUGGAUUUCCUUAGUACAAAGAAAACCUUGGAAAAUAUCUCAACAAUAUUCUGUAUUGAUUACAUGUUGACAUGACAAUACCUUGGACAUUCUGGGUUUAAUAAAAUAUAUUGUUAAAAUUUACU
rnacentral:lncRNA from 1 species